UGGGGAAUCUUGCACAAUGGGCGGAAGCCUGAUGCAGCGACGCCGCGUGAGGGACGAAGGUCUUCGGAUCGUAAACCUCUGUCCAAAGGGACGAAGGAGUGACGGUACCUUUGGAGGAAGCCCCGGCCAACUACGUGCCAGCAGCCGCGGUAAGACGUAGGGGGCGAGCGUUGUCCGGAAUCAUUGGGCGUAAAGGGCGCGUAGGCGGUGACGUAAGUCAGGCGUGAAAGGCAUCGGCUCAACCGACGCACAUAGCCUGAUACUACGUUGCUAGAGUGCAGGAGAGGAGAGUGGAAUUCCAGGUGUAGCGGUGAAAUGCGUAGAUAUCUGGAAGAACACCAGUGGCGAAGGCGGCUCUCUGGACUGUAACUGACGCUGAGGCGCGAAAGCUGGGGGAGCA
rnacentral:rRNA from 1 species